CGCUCUGUCUCACAUCAUUGAGUUUGCUCCUCAAAGGUAGCGCAUGGAGGAGAACAGCAGGGAGGAAGGUUUAUCGAAAGCAAAAUGGUGAUGCAUGUGUUGUUACUGCCUUCAGGCCCUGCUGAUGCUUUCUUUGAAGAACCUAAUAAUGUGAGUUCUUGUUUGGUCAUGCAGCAGCUGUGUUGGAGUUGGCAGGUGGUUAAACGGGUGACCAGGGGACUGGAUGGCUGGCUGCAGUGUCUCGGCGUCUCUCUCCCCCUGAGUCCAGGUCUCUGGCUGGAACACGGUGACCUAUAGCUGCUCUUGGCAGGGCCGUGGGGUUACCAAAAGGGCAGAACUGCUCUCCGAAUCGGGCAUCUGAGAAAUAUCUGAGAAGCAAUGAUGAGAGACAUGCAUACUAAUAAAAGUCGCUCCUCCAAACACAUGGCAAAAAUUCUCGUUAGGGUUAGAUGCUCCCCGAGGGCUUCGCCAGCCCUCCUUUCUCCUCACUCAUUUACACCACUGCACUGAUGCAUGCUGGAAUUGAUAACACAGACACCUUCUCUUAUCUUGUCUUACCGUAGUCUUUUGAGUAGGAGUCCUUUGUUAUCGACCUGGCAAGGAGCAAAGGGAUGUCACAGACUCAAAUGGAUUUUUAAGAUGCUUUCACCAAAUGUUCGACAGCUGCUGGCCUGAUGAAUUUGAUCGAUGAUGUGUUGAAACCAGUACAAGGUUGUUGCUGAGGGGACGGGUGUUGCUGCUGUGGUGACAGUAAGAAGCAAUGCAUUGCGCCGAUAGAUGGCCGAGAGAAACAGGAAGCAGUGGCCAACUCCUGCAGACACUAGGAACGCUUCAUGGUCCAGUGAUGAAUUGCAAAUAGAGGAUCAGAGUCUGGCACAUGAAAGUGAUUGAGAGGAGGGAAGGAGGGGGAAAGAGACAAAGAGAGCGAGAGAGAGAUUCCCUUUAUGCUCACUGUGUCAGGCCUCAGUCUUUGACUUCGGUCGGGACUAAUGAUCGUUCUGAUAUGGGCAAGUAAUUGGUGUCUAGGGAUGUUAGACUACAAUGUCUUUUACAUAACGUAAUAGGCAACCCAGUAUAGGCUGCAAUAUUUAGUCAGGAAGGCGAUUAAAACUAAGGGAGUGACAUUCGGGUGAUGCACUGCCCAAUUGGCAGGACUGGGCAAGCAAUUACAAUCGUUUUUGGCAGAAGCAUAUGUAGUUUU